rnacentral:tRNA from 2 species
GGCCGGCUGGCCUAAUGGUUAAGGCGUCAGUUUCCGGUUCGGAAUCAGCUGAAGAUUCUGGGUUCGACUCCCAGGUUGGUCG